rnacentral:rRNA from 1 species
CAGUAGCCACGGUAAUACGUAGGGUGCAAGCGUUAAUCGGAAUUACUGGGCGUAAAGCGUGCGUAGGCGGUGAGUUAAGUCUGCUGUGAAAUCCCCGGGCUCAACCUGGGAAUGGCAGUGGAUACUGGCUCGCUAGAGUGUGUCAGAGGAUGGUGGAAUUCCACGUGUAGCGGUGAAAUGCGUAGAGAUGUGGAGAAACACCAGUGGCGAAGGCGACUCUCUGGUCUGUAACUGACGCUGAGGAGCGAAAGCGUGGGGAGCGAACAGGAUUAGAUACCCCGGUAGUCCCUGUCUCUUAUAC